AGUGUCCCUCCCAGCCUGUGAGCUUCUAGAAGGCAUUGCAACCCGGCACAGGAGCUGACACUUACAAAUAUUCAGGAACAAGCCAGUCCUCGAAGUCUCAUGUAGGGGAAAGAUCAUGAGAUCUGGAGGUGAAGGAGUGGCCCUAACUGGCCCUAAACACUUCAAGUGCCCCUGGGCACGUGGUUUCAUGGCUCUGAGCCUCGAUUUCUUCCUCUGGGUCUUCCUCUGUCACCCAGGCUGCAGUGCAGUGGCGCAAUCAUGGCUCACCGCAGCCUCCACCUCCUGGGAUCAAGGGAUCCUCCCACCUCAGCACCCCGAGUAGCUGGGACCACAGGCGGACGCCACAGCAUCUGGCUGUUUGUAUAUUUUGUAGACAGGGUUUCACCAUGUUGGCCAGGCUGGUCUCGAAUUCCUGGGCUCAAAUGAUCCACCUGCCUCAGCCUCCCAAAGUGCUAGGAUUACAGGAGUGACCCACCGUGCCCAGCACCCCCUUUACCUCUGAGCAAUCCAUCUCUCUCCUUGGGGGCACCCCAUGAUCUAGACACCACCCACCUUGUUCUGCCUUGGCCAAAAUACCACCUAACUGCCCCCACCUAUGCCAGGUGCCCCUCACCCACCCUCCUCCACCCUUCGCUGAGUCCCACUUGGCUGGUGCCCAGGACAGGGACAGUCCCAGCCCUUCCAGCCCAUCUCCCCACAUCAGUACACUCCGGAGAGCCAGCCAAGAGUAGAUUCUUUAUUCAUUUCUCUUUUUUUUCUUAAAAAAAAAAGUAUUCAUUUGGUAUAAAAAAUAAAUAUUUUAAAUAUG
rnacentral:lncRNA from 10 species